rnacentral:rRNA from 1 species
AACUUUUAACAACGGAUCUCUUGGUUCUCGCAUCGAUGGAGAACGUAGCAAAGUGCGAUAACUAGUGUGAAUUGCAUAUUCAGUGAAUCAUCGAGUCUUUGAACGCAUCUUGCGGUCGUUGGUAUUCCAACGACCACGCCUGUUUCAGUA